rnacentral:rRNA from 1 species
UACGUAGGCAGCAAGCGUUGUUCGGAGUUACUGGGCGUAAAGGGUGCGUAGGCGGCCGCAAAAGUAUGGUGUGAAAUCUCCCGGCUUAACUGGGAGGGUGCGCUAUAAACUGCGUGGCUAGAGUGUGGGAGAGGAAGUGGAAUUCCUGGUGUAGCGGUGAAAUGCGUAGAUAUCAGGAGGAACACCGGUGGUGUAAACGGCUUUCUGGACCAUAACUGACGCUGAGGCACGAAAGCGUGGGUAGCAAACAGG